rnacentral:tRNA from 1 species
GGCCUCGCAGCUCAGUUGGCUGGAGCGUGUGCUGUACUUAAGCCUUCCCCUUGCUCGUGUAGGUUCAAAUCCUGCCGAGUCCA